UCUCCGGCAACUUCCUCCACCUUGACCGGGAGGAGGGCCUUGUGCGACGAUCCCAGUCCCGCGGGGCCUGGGAGGCAGCGGCCGCGAGCGCUGGCCCGCCGCUGCGAGAUGCGCUGCCCGGCCUGUGCACUGAGCGCCGGCUGCGGGGCACCGGGCUACGUCCCAGCCCUGCGGCUCUAUCGCGCUUGUCAUCUGGGUUCUCCGGUGCAGGGGCGGGCCACAGCGCCGCCAUCGCUCAGAGCCCAGGGAAAGAUGAUCCCGCGACCGUCCGGCCAAAAGCAACCACGAGACUCGGGUUCUCGAAUGAACUUGGGUCGAGACCACACGGGAAGAGCGAGUUUCGUUUUCAGGUGAUCCCACGCCUGACCCUUUUGGUCUCUCCCACCCCCAUCCUGGCAGAGCCCCGGAGCGCCACAUUUCCGGGCUCAGCUUUCUGGCAUCCCGAUUCUGCGUCCUGGUGGACACCACCACUGCUGGGCCCUCGGGAGGAUCUGCCCUUGAACUGGCUCAGAGAGACAAACUUCAUAUUCAAAACAAGGAUGUAGUCAUCGCCUUGGAAUCUUCACCUUGGGCUCUGGGACGUGGGCGCCCCUCGGCUCAAGUUCUCCGAGCCUUUUUGUGAGUUUAUAAAAUAUUGGGCGGGCUUGACAUUCAGGGGUAUAGCGCCCAGCCCAGCCCUGGGUUCCAUCUCCAGCACCGCAAAACCAAAGUAAAAUAUGGAGAGAAGGCUAAAAUGAGA
rnacentral:lncRNA from 1 species